AAAUUACCCAUACCUCUACUCUCCUUCAAUUCACGUAAAAGCAAAAACAAGAGAAGUCAAACCCUCCUUCCCUCCUAUUCUUUCACGUAAACCAGAAAACCCUCAAACCUUGGUACUCUCUGCCCCAGCCGCAGCCACCGUACACUCGCCGGACCGCCGCCGCGUUGUCGCACCGCCGAUCCCUCCGUCCGAACCGCCGCUGCCACCAGUGCUCGCCACCACGCAAGCCCAGCCGCGUUGCCAGUUCGCCGUCCUGUCUCACCGUCGCGCCUUGCCCCGCCAACUUCUUCUCCCUUUCUUCUUUCGCGGGUUACCACCGUAGGCGCACGCAACCACCACCCAGCAAGCCACCUGCUGCCGCACCGCCAUUGCCGCCGGCCAGCAGCCUUUCUCUCCUCCUUAAUUUUGGUGGAGAAUUCUCGUUAGGCGACUUUUGAAAGUGUUAAAGUGGCCUAUUAGUUUGUUUACACAAGUCUUUAAGGAUCAAUAAGCGUUGACCAUCUACAGGUUUGAAGAUGAUGCAUCAUUGGGAUCGGGAUUAGAGAGCUUGUAGUUCUAUUCGUUUAAUUAAGUGAUUUAAUUUGUUAACUUGGAUUUGAAAUUUGUCGUACUAUUCGUAUUUCCUUAAUUCAGUUAAAUGGGUUUGGACCUAAUAUGUAAUAGAUUAUUUAUGAACCUAAAAGUUAGUUUUAUGUUUUCCGCUGCAAAAUUCUGAAUAAGCCGAUACGUUUUCA